rnacentral:tRNA from 1 species
GGGUCUGUAGCUCAGUUGGUUAGAGCGUCUCGUUGACAUCGAGAAGGUCAUAGGUUCGAGUCCUAUCAGACCCA